UGCGCAGGCGGGGAUGUAAGUCAGUGGUGAAAUACUGCCGCUCAACGGUAGAACUGCCAUUGAUACUGCAUCUCUUGAGUAUGGUUGAGGUAGGCGGAAUGCGUUGUGUAGCGGUGAAAUGCAUAGAUAUGACACAGAACGCCAAUUGCGAAGGCAGCUUACUAAACCAUUACUGACGCUGAGGCACGAAAGCGUGGGGAGCGAACAGGAUUAGAUACCCUGGUAGUCC
rnacentral:rRNA from 1 species